rnacentral:rRNA from 1 species
AUUGAACGCUGGCGGCAGGCCUAACACAUGCAAGUCGAGCGGAUGAAGAGAGCUUGCUCUCUGAUUUAGCGGCGGACGGGUGAGUAAUGCCUAGGAAUCUGCCUGGUAGUGGGGGAUAACGUUCCGAAAGGAACGCUAAUACCGCAUACGUCCUACGGGAGAAAGCAGGGGACCUUCGGGCCUUGCGCUAUCAGAUGAGCCUAGGUCGGAUUAGCUAGUUGGUGAGGUAAUGGCUCACAAGGCGACGAUCCGUAACUGGUCUGAGAGGAUGAUCAGUCACACUGGAACUGAGACACGGUCCAGACUCCUACGGGAGGCAGCAGUGGGGAAUAUCGGACAAUGGGCGAAAGCCUGAUCCAGCCAUGCCGCGUGUGUGAAGAAGGUCUUCGGAUUGUAAAGCACUUUAAGUUGGGAGGAAGGGUACUUACCUAAUACGUGAGUAUUUUGACGUUACCGACAGAAUAAGCACCGGCUAACUCUGUGCCAGCCGCCGCAGUAACAC